rnacentral:rRNA from 1 species
AAAUUGAAGAGUUUGAUCAUGGCUCAGAUUGAACGCUGGCGGCAGGCCUAACACAUGCAAGUCGAACGGUAACAGGAAACAGCUUGCUGUUUCGCUGACGAGUGGCGGACGGGUGAGUAAUGUCUGGGAAACUGCCUGAUGGCGGGGGAUAACUACUGGAAACGGUAGCUAAUACCGCAUAACGUCGCAAGACCAAAGAGGGGGACCUUCGGGCCUCUUGCCAUCGGAUGUGCCCAGAUGGGAUUAGCUAGUAGGUGGGGUAACGGCUCA